CUACGGGUUGCUGCAGUGAGGAAUAUUGCACAAUGGGGGGAACCCUGAUGCAGCAACGCCGCGUGGAGGAUGACGCAUUUCGGUGUGUAAACUCCUUUUAUAUGUCAAGAAAAUGACGGUAGCAUAUGAAUAAGCACCGGCUAACUCCGUGCCAGCAGCCGCGGUAAUACGGAGGGUGCAAGCGUUACUCGGAAUCACUGGGCGGAAAGGACGCGUAGGCGGGUUGGAAAGUCAGGUGUGAAAUCCUACAGCUUAACUGUAGAACUGCACUUGAAACUUCUAACCUAGAGUAUGGGAGGGGGAGAUGGAAUUAGUGGUGUAGGGGUAAAAUCCGUAGAUAUCACUAGGAAUACCUAAAGCGAAGGCGAUCUCCUGGAACAUUACUGACGCUAAGGCGUGAAAGCGUGGGGAGCAAACAGGAUUAGAUACCCGCGUAGUC
rnacentral:rRNA from 1 species